GGAGGGUUGAAGGGUAAAUCAUUAACGCAACUUAAUUUUGCAGUCAUAUAUCCGUUAACCUGAAAGUUUUCUGCUGCGAUUUGAGGAAGAAGAGUAACAGAGAAGAUGAAGAUUUUCAUCCUGGUCUUUUCAGUUUGCUCAUGUCUGACUGUGAGGGGCAUAAAAUCAUGUCUUUCCCCAAGUGUGCCAAACGCCGAGCCUACAAAUGAUUUACAGCUCUUCUAUAUUUCCGGAGAAACUGUUAGAUUUGAAUGCAACAGCGGCUAUGGGUUUGAAGGAACACGUUAUGCAGUUUGUGAUAAUGGAAAGUGGAGGCUACCAGUGUGUAAAAACGCAUCAUGUACCGCUCCACACGUGGCAAACGCCAAACCUGAAAAGAAGUUAGAAUCAUCCUAUGCAAGUGGACACACUGUUAGAUUUGUAUGUGACAGGAACUAUGAGUUUGAAGAAACAUCUUAUGCAGUUUGUGAUGAUGGAACAUGGUGGCUGCCAGUGUGCAAAGAAAAAAUAACGUGUCCUAAACCACCACGAGUGCAACAUACAGAAGCUGAGGAGUUAAAAAACUCCUAUGACAUUGGAGAGACGAUUCGGUUUAGGUGCCGCCCCAGCUACGAGUUCAUAAGCAGUGAUAUUGCAGAGUGUGUAGACGGAUCCUGGAGGCUGCCAGUGUGUCGACCUCGACGUGUAUCGUGGUGUAACCAACCACGUGUCCAAAACGGCCAUCAUGCAGGCCGUUUAGCAUCGAGCUAUGCUACAGGAAGCUGGGUAAAGUUUGUAUGUGACGACGGCUAUGAGUUUGAAGGAACACAUUAUGCACAGUGUGAUAAGGGACAAUGGACGCUGCCUGUGUGUAAACAAGCAGUGACCGGCGGCCAUGCUGUUUCUGACAAAAAAGAUCCGUCUUUAUCCGGCCUUGAUUGUGGAACUCGACCCCUUAUUGAAAAUGGAGACGUCAUAGAGCAACAAGGUGGAAAUAAAUUACUUGUUCAGUGUAAGUUCUUAUAUAAAAGAGUGGGACCUGAACAGAUAACAUGUGAUUCUGGAGUGUGGACGCAGCUCCCAGUGUGUAAACCGCCAUGUAAACUGGACAGGACGCGCUUUAAUUCUCAAUAUCAUCCUGACGUAUAUCUGCAGGAGGGUGAAACGAAGACUUUUUACUGUCCUAUAGGAUACUACAGUUAUUCUAUAACCAUCCAGUGCACUAAUGGACAAGCCGUCUAUAGUGAUUGUAAGUGUAUCCUGUGUUUUCUAGACAAAAAUAACUCACUUUAUUUAGUUACACAUGUGUUUAUACUUUAUUUCUGCACCGUUAUUAUCAAAAUGUAUAAAACCUCAUUGUCUGCUGUAAUGGGAAUAUAAUCGUUUAUGAUGACAAUGAUGAUCUCUAGGAAUCUGUAGCUGCUCUCAUACAAAAUGUUUCGACACCCUCGGACCAAUCGGCAUCCAGAAUUUAUAUUAGAACCCGUGCUGGUUGUUGUUAUGCUCCACAAGGCUCACAGGGUUUAUUUGAUCAGCUGAUUAUGGUUGAACAUGUGGGGGAUUUAACUGAGACGAUCUCUGAUGGCUGUUUCUUUUGUUUACAGGUCACUAGAGCUGGCGAUCUGUAUCGACGGCUCGAUCGGACAAACCGACACCCGCAAAGCUGAAAAUAUGCUAAGAAGGAAAAGUCUUCCAGAGACUUAACUUAACUACAGUGAAACGACAAAAUAAGGAAAAUGUAAUAAAAAAUAAAUAAAUAACAUGGCUCAUCUGUGAAGAUGGUGGAUUGUUACAUGAAAAAAGAACAUCAGAUCUGCUAAAUCAAUAAAUCUUAUGUUUAGGGA